rnacentral:rRNA from 1 species
UACGUAGGGUGCAAGCGUUGUCCGGAAUUAUUGGGCGUAAAGAGCUCGUAGGCGGUUUGUCGCGUCUGCUGUGAAAACUCGGGGCUUAACUCCGGGCCUGCAGUGGGUACGGGCAGACUAGGGUGCGGUAGGGGAGACUGGAAUUCCUGGUGUAGCGGUGAAAUGCGCAGAUAUCAGGAGGAACACCGGUGGCGAAGGCGGGUCUCUGGGCCGUAACUGACGCUGAGGAGCGAAAGCGUGGGGAGCGAACAGG